CCUACGGGAGGCAGCAGUGGGGAAUAUUGCACAAUGGGCGCAAGCCUGAUGCAGCCAUGCCGCGUGUAUGAAGAAGGCCUUCGGGUUGUAAAGUACUUUCAGCGAGGAGGAAGGCGAUGCGGUUAAUAACCGUGUCGAUUGACGUUACUCGCAGAAGAAGCACCGGCUAACUCCGUGCCAGCAGCCGCGGUAAU
rnacentral:rRNA from 1 species